rnacentral:rRNA from 1 species
AUUGAACGCUGGCGGCAGGCCUAACACAUGCAAGUCGAGCGGAGCGGGGGACGGGUGAGUAAUGCCUAGGAAGCUGCCUGGUCGUGGGGGAUGACGUCCGGAAAGGAGCGCUAAUACAGCAUACUCUCAGAUGAGCCUAGGUAGGAUUAGCUAGUUGGUGAGGUAAAGGCCUACCAAGGCGACGAUCCGUAACUGGUCUGAGUGGAUGAUCAGUCACACUGGAACUGAGACACGGCCCAGACUCCUACGGGAGGCAGCAGUGGGGAAUAUUGCACAAUGGGCGAAAGCCUGAUCCAGCCAUGCCGCGUGUGUGAAGAAGGUCUUCGGAUUGUAAAGCACUUUAAGUUGGGAGGCGUUACCAACAGAAGAAGCACCGGCUAACUUCGUGCCAGCAGCCGCGGUAAUAC